rnacentral:rRNA from 1 species
GAUGAACGCUGGCGGCGUGCUUAACACAUGCAAGUCGAACGAACCUUCGGGUUAGUGGCGGACGGGUGAGUAACGCGUGAGAAUCUGCCCUCAGGAGGGGGAUAACAGCUGGAAACGGCUGCUAAUACCCCAUAUGCCGCGAGGUGAAAUGAAUUUCGCCUGAGGAUGAGCUCGCGUCUGAUUAGCUAGUUGGUGUAGGUAAUGGCUCACCAAGGCAUCGAUCAGUAGCUGGUCUGAGAGGAUGAUCAGCCACACUGGGACUGAGACACGGCCCAGACUCCUACGGGAGGCAGCAGUGGGGAAUUUUCCGCAAUGGGCGAAAGCCUGACGGAGCAACGCCGCGUGAGGGAUGAAGGCCUCUGGGCUGUAAACCUCUUUUAUCAAGGAAGAAGAUCUGACGGUACUUGAUGAAUAAGCCACGGCUAAUUCCGUGCCAGCAGCCGCGGUAAUACGGGAGUGGCAAGCGUUAUCCGGAAUUAUUGGGCGUAAAGCGUCCGCAGGCGGCCCUUCAAGUCUGCUG